GGCCUCGGAACUCAGUUGGCUAGAGCGUUGGCUGUACUAAAGCCUUCCCCUUGCUGGCGUGGGUUCGAAUCCUACCGAGGCUG
rnacentral:tRNA from 1 species